AGUGAACGCUGGCGGUAGGCCUAACACAUGCAAGUCGAACGGCAGCACAGUAAGAGCUUGCUCUUACGGGUGGCGAGUGGCGGACGGGUGAGGAAUACAUCGGAAUCUACUUUUUCGUGGGGGAUAACGUAGGGAAACUUACGCUAAUACCGCAUACGACCUACGGGUGAAAGCAGGGGAUCUUCGGACCUUGCGCGAUUGAAUGAGCCGAUGUCGGAUUAGCUAGUUGGCGGGGUAAAGGCCCACCAAGGCGACGAUCCGUAGCUGGUCUGAGAGGAUGAUCAGGUACACUGGGACUGAUGCAGGCACCCGGCUCAUACGGGAUGCAGCAGUGGGGAGUAUUGGAAGAAGGGCGCGAGCCUGAUCCAGCCAUACCGCGAGAGUGAAGAAGGCCUUCGGGUUGUAAAGCUCUUUUGUUGGGACAGAAAAACAGCAGGUCAAUCACCCGCUGUGCUGCCGGUACCCUAAUAAUAAGCAACGGCUAACUUCAUG
rnacentral:rRNA from 1 species